rnacentral:rRNA from 1 species
UACGAAGGGUGCAAGCGUUAAUCGGAAUUACUGGGCGUAAAGCGUGCGUAGGUGGUUUGUUAAGUCUGCUGUGAAAGCCCUGGGCUCAACCUGGGAAUGGCGGUGGAUACUGACAAGCUAGAGUGCGGUAGAGGGGGGUGGAAUUCCCGGUGUAGCGGUGAAAUGCGUAGAGAUCGGGAGGAACAUCAGUGGCGAAGGCGGCCCUCUGGACCAGCACUGACGCUGAGGCACGAAAGCGUGGGGAGCAAACAGG